AGCGAACGCUGGUGGCAGGCUUAACACAUGCAAGUCGAACGCUCGUAGCAAUACGGGAGUGGCAGACGGGUGAGUAACGCGUGGGAAUAUGCCUUUUGGUUCGGAAUAACUCAGGGAAACUUGAGCUAAUACCGGAUAAGCCCGUGAGGGGAAAGAUUUAUCGCCAAAAGAUUAGCCCGCGUCCGAUUAGCUAGUUGGUGAGGUAAUGGCUCACCAAGGCGACGAUCGGUAGCUGGUCUGAGAGGAUGAUCAGACACAUUGGGACUGAGACACGGCCCAAACUCCUACGGGAGGCAGCAGUGGGGAAUAUUGGACAAUGGGCGCAAGCCUGAUCCAGCCAUGCCGCGUGAGUGAUGAAGGCCUUAGGGUUGUAAAGCUCUUUUGUCCGGGAAGAUAAUGACGGUACCGGAAGAAUAAGCCCCGGCUAACUUCGUGCCAGCCGCCGCCGUAA
rnacentral:rRNA from 1 species